CUACUUCUAAAUCAUCAAGUUCAAAUCUUAGAACACUUAUCAAAAUUAAGCAUCCAAACGAUUUGUCAGAAUUUAACAAUUGUGUGAAAAAGAUACCAACAGAUUCUACAUCAAUAUCUCAUUAACAAAUGAAAGUUCCACCAACGGAAAAGUUAAAUCGAGCUGAGUUUGAUGAGGCUAGUUUAAAACUUAUGAUUGGUACUGUGUCAUCUUUUACAUUCAUUAAACAUCCAGCAUUUGUACAAUAAUAAUGCGAUUAAAAUAUUUUAAAAAACAUGCUAGAUAACAACGAUAAUAUUACAGAAGCUCUUACAUGAUCUCGAAGUUUGAUAAUAGUCAAUUCACUCUGAUAUUCAAGCUAACAAAAAAAAAUUGGAACUGCUGAAGGUUGAUAUGUCCGGUAUAGGUUGAACAUACAUGGUUGUAUUGCAUGCGUUAGAUGAAGAUAAUACACAAAGAUUCAUGAGAUGUAUGGAGUCAAAGAUGUACAAGUGGCUGCUUGUAUGGUUCCAAAAUUCAAACUUAAUUGGACUGUAGAAGAUAAUCUGAACGACAUCAAACAUAUCAGUAACUACUCCCAACACAACAUCUACAGAAUGUCAUAAUAGUGCCUUUGAAGAUGAUUUUUUUAAUUUUGAAGAAAAUAAUGUUUUGGAAUCAAAUUAUCAUAUACUUCUUGUUGACAAUUAUUUGUCUAACACAAAUAUUAAAUUUCCUUCAGAAUUACCAAAUUUUUAAAUGAUUGAGUAAUAUUUAUUUUAUCAAUUAUAAAUGUUUCAGUACAGUACCUAAGCACAUUCACACUAAAAUUUAAAUUUAAAUGAACCCAGAGUGAAAUAUAGAGUUCUAAAAUGAUAUAUAAUCUUUAUGCAUAGGUAUAUUAGUAUCCAAGUGAUUAGCACGUCAUAUUAGUCAUUUUAAUACCUUUUC